AAAAGAGUGAAGGAGUGAUCAUCUAGUUUCAUUAUGGGUCAUGAUUCCUCCAGCUGAGAUCCUUAGAUGAGCCACAUUGGAGCUCUACACUGCUGAACAUAGUUCCUGUGAGCAUCUGUCUGGUGCCUGGGCUUGGGAGUUAAGUCUGUUGUAGAGAACAUCUAGCCACUAUACCAAGAAGGGCCUCCAUGUUUACUGCUGACCAUGAGCUCACCCACAGACACCUGUGAGAUUUCCUGGCCAACAUCAGUUCUCCCUCCGGACACAGGCAGGGAAGUCCUGGUGGCCUUGGCAACAGCAUCACUUUGGAGCCCAGACGGAAAAUGGCAAGAGGAACUCUAAGAAAUGACUGCUGCUUCUUGGCUUCGCUUUUGUGCCUAGCAUCCUGAGCCAGUUAGACCAUCUACUUCCUACCCCAGGACGCAGAGCACUGCUCUGACACUCUGGAAAGCCCUGUGGGAUGUAGAAGGGUAAUAACGACACACACCUACACAGUGCAUGGAGGCUGCGGAGGACCUGUCAUUGCAAGGUUUCUCUCAUUCCCCACUGCUCCCUGAGGUAUCGUCGCCUCCGUUUUAAGAGUGAGGAAAGGGGCCUGGAGAGGCCAGUGGCUUGCCCAAUUCCAUAUCAACAGAGCAGCCUUUGUGCUUCUGGUUCAAUGCUCUUUCUUUACAGGCUGUACCACGUGGGGGUCUGGAGGGGCGGGACUGUCUCAUGCUCUCUGGACACACAGGUCUUCGCAGUGGUGUCCCUCUCUCCUUACCUCCCAGACAGAGCAACCCAGGCUUGCUGCCCUGUUGGCAUAAGGCUCCCUGGGCUUGAGUUUGAGGUGAGGAGAUUCAAGGCAGCCAACUUUUUUGGAAAAGAUUUUAUUUAUUUAUCCAUGAGAGACACAAAGAAAGAGGCAAAGACAUAGGCAGAGGGAGAAGCAGGCUCCCUGCAGGGAGCCCAGUACAAGUCUUGAUCCCAGGACACCAGGAUCACACCCUGAGCCCAAGGCAGAUGCUCAACCACUGAGCCACCCAGGUGCCCCAAGGCAGCCAUUAUAAAUGUUGUCGUUGGUCUUGAGGAAGGGUACACAAAGCCUGUGGUAUUCUAGGCACAGGACAAGAUGGAGUAUGGGGCAGGAGAAAUGGAGAGGCGUGGUGGGGGGCUAUUCCUUGCCUUGGGGAGUUUAAGUAGCUCCUGUUCUGAAGGGUGCCUGGGAAAGUGUGCAUGAAAAAUAAAAACCUAAAAGUAAACAGUUGUUCCAUUUGUACAGUUAAGAACUUGGAGAGGGGCAAGUUCUGGUUUUUCAACAUAGUUUUAGGUCAAGUACAAUUAUAACUCUCAUUACUGCCCCCAGGUUACAUUCCAUGGCUCCCUUUGCCCUAGAACAAAGCUCUGGCUUUCAGACUUCCUAAGGCCACCAUAAUUAAUGUCUUCUGUUUGCAUUUUGCCCCUUCUGUUUAAAUUUGGGGGCUCCUUCUGGCAGGCCCUUCUCUUGGCUUAGAUUCAACUCAUGUUCACUGGCACGGUGUUGGCAGUUUUCACCUACACGACCACAUGAAAUUCUCCCAGUCAGCCCAUAAGACUGGUUUCCUCUCUCAGUUUCAGAGAUGAGAAAAUUAAGUUUUCAAGUGGUUAAGUCAUUUGUCCCACGUCACCAGGCAGCAAGUGGUGCCUGCUGUGCAAGCCACACGCUGAACAUGUGUAGACACAACAUAGGCCCAUCUAGGGACAGGGAGUUUCAUCACAGACUAUGAUGGCUCUCUGAGGCGCUGUGAAGAAUAGUCUAUUCCCUCUGCCUGAAACAUGCACCACCUAUUCCUACUCUAGUGGAUGGAAAUUAAUCUUCAACUGUCCAGCAUGAUUCUCCUCCAUACCCUGGCAACAGAGGAGAGAUGUGUGACUAAGAUUUGGCCAAUCAGGGGACCCAAUUCCUGUGAUCAUCAUGAUUGGUCCAAGGCUGAAUGUGUGACUGAUCCAAGGAUUACAAUUGUUUCCUCUUCAAGCAAUGAUGCAAUGAAUAUUCUGUGCUGGUACUGAUAUUUGCUUUCAUUUGUUCAAUUAUUCCCAUGGGAUAGUUGCUGAGUCAUACGUAGGUAUGUUUUAAACGUUGGCAUGUUUUGUGAGGUUGCUCUCCAGAAAGGUUGGCCCAAAUUUACACCAUCCCAGCAAUAUGGGAGAGUUGAUUCUACACACCCCAGCAACACCUGGUGGUGUCAAUCUUUAAUGAUUUGCCGUUCUGAAAAGUGAGGACAGCUGUUGAAAAGGGUUCCCAAUCCUGGGCCUCCUUUUGGGUCAUGUUCCCACAUGCCUGUCCCUAAAGUUACCUACCCCUGGCCUUGCUCCUAAAUCUCUUGCCUGGUCCUUCUUCCAACUUUGUUGGUCUCCUUGUAUCCUGUUCUCACUCUACUAGACUGGAAAAAAAGAGUCUUUACCUUAUACACCUCCCUUUUUCCCUUAGCUCCUUGCAGGUGCUAAGAACAGUUUGAAACCCAAUAAUUGGGGAUCCCUGGGUGGUGCAGCGGUUUGGCGCCUGCCUUUGGCCCAGGGCGCGAUCCUGGAGACCCGGGAUCGAAUCCCACAUCGGGCUCCUGGUGCAUGGAGCCUGCUUCUUCCU